UACGUAGGGGGCAAGCGUUGUCCGGAUUUAUUGGGCGUAAAGAGCGUGUAGGCGGCUUUGCAGGUCUGCUGUGAAAACUCGAGGCUCAACCUCGAGCUGUCGGUGGAAACCGUAAAGCUAGAGUCCGGAAGAGGAGAGUGGAAUUCCCGGUGUAGCGGUGAAAUGCGCAGAUAUCGGGAAGAACACCCGUGGCGAAGGCGGCUCUCUGGGACGGUACUGACGCUGAGACGCGAAAGCGUGGGGAGCGAACAGG
rnacentral:rRNA from 1 species